UCAAAGAAUAUCGAAAUAGCAAGAUGCAGAUCAGGCCCAGGUUUGAAUUGCCAGAAGAUUUGGUUAUGGAAAUUCUGUCAAAGCUUCCAGUUAAAUCCCUUACUCGCUUCAACUGUGUUUUCCCCUCUGUUCAUGGUGCUUGUGAUGGAUUGUUGUGUUUACAAGAAUCUUCAACGGAUAAGGCUGCCAUUUGGAACCCAUCAACCAGAGAGUUUAAAAUCCUUCCACCGUCUUCAAUACAAUGCCCUCCAUAUUUUUCCUCCAUCCAAGAAGGUCGCUUGACUUGAGUCGAGGUUUCUUUUAGGCACGCUGCUUUUGGGUUUGAUUCUAAAACUGAUGACUACAAAGUCAUACGAUUUGUUGUUCUUACUUUUAUUAAUAGUGAAGACGAACGUCAUUUUGAGCCCCAUGUUGAGUUGUAUUCAUUUAGAAGUGAUUCCUGGAAGGAAAUUCCAUCUCCUGGUUAUGCACUAACUCAUCUAUUCUUGGGAAUAAUUGCAUAGAUGGAAUUUGCUAUUGGAAAACAGAGUGUCUGGUAUUUCAUGAUUUUGUAGGACCAAUUUUUUCAUUUGACAUGGCUAAUGAGAAGUUCUCGAUUUUAUCAA